ACGGGAGGCAGCAGUGGGGGAUAUUGCACAAUGGGGGAAACCCUGAUGCAGCGACGCCGCGUGAGUGAUGAAGUAUUUCGGUAUGUAAAGCUCUAUCAGCAGGGAAGAUAAUGACGGUACCUGACUAAGAAGCACCGGCUAAAUACGUGCCAGCAGCCGCGGUAAUACGUAUGGUGCAAGCGUUAUCCGGAUUUACUGGGUGUAAAGGGAGCGUAGACGGCAUGGCAAGCCAGAUGUGAAAUCCCGGGGCUCAACCCCGGAACUGCAUUUGAAACUGUAGCCCUUGAGUAUCGGAGAGGCAAGCGGAAUUCCUAGUGUAGCGGUGAAAUGCGUAGAUAUUAGGAGGAACACCAGUGGCGAAGGCGGCUUGCUGGACGACAACUGACGCUGAGGCGCGAAAGCGUGGGGAGCAAACAGGAUUAGAUACCCUGGUA
rnacentral:rRNA from 1 species